GGCGGUGGUGAAGGGCCGUUCUUAGUUCUUGGAGUGAUCUGUCUGAUUGAUUCCGAUAACGAACGAGACUCAGAGAUAUGAAAUAUAUGCUUUUAGGACUAAGGUGUCGAAUAAUGGCAUUAAGCAAUAACAGGUCUUUGAUGCCCU
rfam:Glossina pallidipes unplaced genomic scaffold Scaffold122, whole genome shotgun sequence.